rnacentral:rRNA from 1 species
UACAGAGGGUGCAAGCGUUGCUCGGAAUCACUGGGCGUAAAGCGCACGUAGGCGGACUCUUAAGUCGGUGGUGAAAUCCUGGAGCUCAACUCCAGAACUGCCUUCGAUACUGAGAGUCUUGAGUCCGGGAGAGGUGAGUGGAACUGCGAGUGUAGAGGUGAAAUUCGUAGAUAUUCGCAAGAACACCAGUGGCGAAGGCGGCUCACUGGCCCGGUACUGACGCUGAGGUGCGAAAGCGUGGGGAGCAAACAGGG